ensembl:lncRNA ADAT1 and TMEM231 readthrough transcript
GUCUGUGACAUCAUAUCCAGCUCUCAUGGCCAUCAGCUGGAGUGCAGUUCCUGAGCAGCCUUUGGAUGUUACUGCCAAUGGCUUUCCACAGGGAACAACAAAGAAAACAAUUGGAAGCCUUCAGGCAAGAUCCCAAAUCAGCAAAGUGGAACUCUUCAGAUCAUUCCAGAAGCUGCUAAGCAGAAUUGCAAGGGACAAGUGGCCACACUCCCUCAGGGUUUUGGCUGAAGCGGAGCAGCUACGAGGAGCAGCCGACCGUGCGCUUCCAACACCAGGUGCUGCUCGUGGCCCUGCUCGGACCCGAAAGCGACGGGUUCCUCGCCUGGAGCACGUUCCCCGCCUUCAACCGGCUGCAAGGGGAUCGCCUGCGCGUCCCGCUCGUUUCGACUAGAGAAGAAGACAGGAACCAGGAUGGGAAGACGGACAUGUUACAUUUUAAGCUGGAGCUUCCCCUGCAGUCCACGGAGCACGUUCUCGGUGUGCAGCUCAUCCUGACUUUCUCCUAUCGAUUACACAGGAUGGCGACCCUCGUGAUGCAGAGCAUGGCGUUUCUCCAGUCCUCCUUUCCUGUCCCGGGAUCCCAGUUAUACGUGAACGGAGACCUGAGGCUGCAGCAGAAGCAGCCGCUGAGCUGUGGUGGCCUAGAUGCCCGAUACAACAUAUCCGUGAUCAACGGGACCAGCCCCUUUGCCUAUGACUACGACCUCACCCAUAUUGUUGCUGCCUACCAGGAGAGGAACGUUACCACCGUCCUGAAUGAUCCCAACCCCAUCUGGCUGGUGGGCAGGGCCGCAGAUG